GGGAGGGGAGCCCUCGGCGGCGGCCUCAGCUCCUCCUCCUCCCCAUCAGGGCACCGCUCAGGAGCCGCCUCGCCGUGCUCGCAAAGCAUGCUGGGAAUAGCAAGGGUUGCCCUUUCCGGUGCCUGACACGAAGACGCCCCCCCAGCACGGCUUCAAAGGGCGAGGAGGGGCUCUGCCCUCCCGCUGCACGUUAAUCCCGCUGCUUUCGCUGCUCCUGUCGCCCUAGGAUGAGCUGUUGGAGGGGUGGUGGAUCAGCCAGCACAAGAGGCCCCUCAGGCCCUCUGAGGGCAGCUAUGACCCUUGACAGUCGGUGACUGACCCCGCCCUCGGCUGGAGCAGGUGGGACCUGGGAUAAGACACCUGCUGGCAAGUGGCCCGGCCCCACGAGGGAGCCCUGUCCCUUUAAGGCGGCGGGAGAGAGAGGAGCUCGUUCCCUGCCUCCCUGGCGGCUCCCGGGCUGCGAGUCCCUGCGCCGUCCCUCACGCUGCACUGGUCCCCGGCCCCUCGCUUCCACGCGCCCUCUGGCCCCGCUGUUAGGGGCAACGGCAGGGGCCCCGUGACUGCUGACGCGAUUGGCACGAGGGAUUGGGGAGGGGGUCACGAGGCUGGGCCGUUGCAGAGUCAGAAACCGCUGCUCUCAAAAUCUGCUCCCGGUAGCAGUUACUGACAUUCUAGUCCGUCCGUUUGGGCGUCUCACAGUUUCUGCUACCCACGCACGUCUCACUGGUCCGGGGCGGGGGCCUUUCGCAUAGGGGGAGCUAGUCCAGACUGAUGGGGUUCACUGUGUCACAGCUGCUUCUGACGCUGCACCGGGCACUGGGGGACUGGCACGGGUAGAUGAGGAGUCCCCCCGAGCUACCUGGCCUCCGUCACACCGCUCCACCAUCCCUGCCCCCAGAUGUGUCUGGCCACAGAUGUGUCUGUGAAAUAGGAGUAGCAUCUGCGGGGCAGUCCUGUACCUGACGCGGCAGCUGUGACCCAUUUCCCGCUCCAGCCCCCAGCCUCUGGGAAAGGAGUUCAGUGUUGUAGGAGCAAGUAAAAUGUCAUUAAAAGGGACCUGCUCAGCCCUCCCCCCGCCCCUUUUUUGGUUGUUGUUGCUUCUGCCCCAAAUGAUGAGUGAGUCAAUUUCAUGCCCAGUGUGGUACAAUUUAUGUGUCUAAUUCUCAAGGCUUCCCUGUAAAUGGACUGGUCUAACACUACUGUUGAAAUAAGUGAGGAAAUUAAGAGUUGAUGGAUUUGUCAAUACAGUUAAUACCCCAGGUGACUGAAAUCCUCUGUUUCGCGUGACUGACAGUGUUUUAAAACCUUAGAAAGGUUGUUGGUCUAAGCAUCAUUUUUAAUAUACCUAAACUUCUUGGAACCACAGAGUGUAGUCCAUCUUGGAUGAUUUAGAUCUUCAUAUUUCCAAGUAUUAUAGGAUUGUGUUUGUGGGUUGGCUGCUACUCUCCACUUCAGAUAUGGCUGUUCUUCAGUGAUAUUUUGUGUAUGUGGUCUGUGAAGAGCUUUGGAAUAAAAGAAGGCGUGUAAAUU